AUCUGAAAUUAGUACAGUGUCCAACAAACAUUCCUUGUAGGCACUUCUAUACUUUAAGGUUUGCAACUCGUUGCUGCAACAUAAUCGCAGAUAGGAAAGCGUUCUGGUCUCCACUAUUUGCAUCAGUAGAGCCACCAUUUAUUUGUCCGCUUGAAUCGCCCACUUACAAGAUUUGCAAUGCCACCAUUGAUCUGCCGAUCUUUCAACGGUUAUUUACAACGGUGGACCCCAACUUGCUGUUGCCAGCUGUUUGGAAUGCUAAAGUACAAGCAUACGACGAACACCAAAAGGAAUUUGUGUGUCUGGAUCUGAAGUUAAGAUAUGUGCGACAAGACAUGUGAUUGUCAAAAAUGAACAAGCUGAAAUA